GUAGGGUGCGAGCGUUGUCCGGAAUUAUCGGGCGUAAAGGGGCUCGUAGGCGGUUUUGUCGCGUCGGGGAGUGAAAUCCACUGGCUUAACUGGUGGCUUGCCUUUCGAUACGGGCAGACUGGAGGUAUGCAGGGGAGAACGGAAUUCCUGGUGUAGCGGUGGAAUGCGCAGAUAUCAGGAGGAACACCAACAGCGAAGGCAGAUCUCUGGGACGUAACUGACGCUGAGACGCGAAAGCGUGGGAAGCAAACAGG
rnacentral:rRNA from 1 species